rnacentral:rRNA from 1 species
AAUCAACGCUGGCGGCGUGCCUCAGACAUGCAAGUCGAACGAUUAAAGCUCUCUUCGGAGAGUGUAUAGAGUGGCGUACGGGAGAGUAACACGUAAGUAAUCUACCCUUGGGUGGGGAAUAACUUAGGGAAACCUAAGCUAAUACCGCAUAAUGCAGCGGCUCCAUAUGGAGACAGUUGUUAAAGCAUUUAUGUGCCUAAGGAGGAGCUUGCGGCAGAUUAGCUAGUUGGUAAGGUAACGGCUUACCAAGGCAACGAUCUGUAGCCGGUCUAAGAGGACGGUCGGUCUCACUGACACUGAAUAACGGGUCAG